UGGGGGAUAUUGCACAAUGGGGGAAACCCUGAUGCAGCGACGCCGCGUGAGGGAAGACGGUUUUCGGAUUGUAAACCUCUGUCUUUGGGGACGAAUUGAGACGGUACCCAAGGAGGAAGCUCCGGCUAACUACGUGCCAGCAGCCGCGGUAAUACGUAGGGAGCAAGCGUUGUCCGGAAUUACUGGGUGUAAAGGGAGCGUAGGCGGGAUAGUAAGUUGAUUGUUAAAACUAUCGGCUCAACUGGUAGAUGCGAUCAAAACUGCAAUUCUUGAGUGAAGUAGAGGCAGGCGGAAUUCCUAGUGUAGCGGUGAAAUGCGUAGAUAUUAGGAGGAACACCAGUGGCGAAGGCGGCCUGCUGGGCUUUAACUGACGCUGAGGCUCGAAAGUGUGGGUAGCAAA
rnacentral:rRNA from 1 species